UUAUAGUUUAGUGGCGGACGGGUGAGUAACACGUGAGCAACCUGCCUUCGAGAGGGGAAUAACGGCUGGAAACGGUCGCUAAUACCGCAUAACAUACGGGAGGGACAUCCCUUUUGUAUCAAAGAUUUAUCGCUCGAAGAUGGGCUCGCGUCCGAUUAGGUAGUUGGUGAGGUAACGGCCCACCAAGCCGACGAUCGGUAGCCGGACUGAGAGGUUGAACGGCCACAUUGGGACUGAGACACGGCCCAGACUCCUACGGAAGGCAGCAG
rnacentral:rRNA from 1 species